GGGACACGUGGUAUCCUGUCUGAAUAUGGGGGGACCAUCCUCCAAGGCUAAAUACUCCUGACUGACCGAUAGUGAACCAGUACCGUGAGGGAAAGGCGAAAAGAACCCCGGCGAGGGGAGUGAAAAAGAACCUGAAACCGUGUACGUACAAGCAGUGGGAGCACCUUCGGGUGUGACUGCGUACCUUUUGUAUAAUGGGUCAGCGACUUAUAUUCUGUAGCAAGGUUAACCGUAUAGGGGAGCCGCAGGGAAACCGAGUCUUAACUGGGCGUUAAGUUGCAGGGUAUAGACCCGAAACCCGGUGAUCUAGCCAUGGGCAGGUUGAAGGUUGGGUAACACUAACUGGAGGACCGAACCGACUAAUGUUGAAAAAUUAGCGGAUGACUUGUGGCUGGGGGUGAAAGGCCAAUCAAACCGGGAGAUAGCUGGUUCUCCCCGAAAGCUAUUUAGGUAGCGCCUCGUGAACUCAUCUUCGGGGGUAGAGCACUGUUUCGGCUAGGGGGUCAUCCCGACUUACCAACCCGAUGCAAACUACGAAUACCGAAGAAUGUUAUCACGGGAGACACACGGCGGGUGCUAACGUCCGUCGUGAAGAGGGAAACAACCCAGACCGCCAGCUAAGGUCCCAAAGUCAUGGUUAAGUGGGAAACGAUGUGGGAAGGCACAGACAGCCAGGAUGUUGGCUUAGAAGCAGCCAUCAUUUAAAGAAAGCGUAAUAGCUCACUGGUCGAGUCGGCCUGCGCGGAAGAUGUAACGGGGCUAAACCAUGCACCGAAGCUGCGGCAGCGACACUAUGUGUUGUUGGGUAGGGGAGCGUUCUGUAAGCCUGCGAAGGUGACCUGUGAGGGUUGCUGGAGGUAUCAGAAGUGCGAAUGCUGACAUAAGUAACGAUAAAGCGGGUGAAAAGCCCGCUCGCCGGAAGACCAAGGGUUCCUGUCCAACGUUAAUCGGGGCAGGGUGAGUCGACCCCUAAGGCGAGGCCGAAAGGCGUAGUCGAUGGGAAACAGGUU
rnacentral:rRNA from 1 species